ACUGCUGGAAGAAGCUUGUCCCUUUCUGCUUGCACAGUUUUGAAAGGCUGCUACUGGCCACCGCCAUAACCCAGCUGCAGCACAGGCAGGAAGGGGUUAAACCCUAAAGAUUAGGGUUGCCAACCCUCAAAGAUUGCCCUGAAGUCUCCAGGAAUUAAAGAUUAACGUCAUGUGAUGAAACUUCCAGGAAUACAUCCAACCAAAAUUGGCAACUCUACUAAGGGUGCAUGGUGCACCAGAGCCCAGGGAACCUGACUGCAGGGGCUUCAGUGAACGCGGCCAGAGAGGUGGCACAGGAGGGGAGGGUGCCUACGGGAUGGAGCAGUCCCGUGUUCCUUGGGGGCAGGACGCAGGGCAGGGGAGGCGGGUGAAGAGGAUGCUAAACUCCUGUCCCGGGAGCUGCUGUGAAUUCUGCAGGUUUGGGGUGUGAACAGCCUGGAAAUUGCUCCCCCCCCGCCCAACUCCAGAGUUUAGCUGAGGGGUGGAGAGGCUUCCCUGUGCCAGCACUGUGUGGCUCUUUGGAAUAUGCAGGGCUUGGCUCCUUCUGGCCAGUGCCCUGGGUUGGAGGGUCUUGGGCUUUCCCAAGUGCCAGCUGGACAUGGGACAGGGAGGGGGAGGUGGGGGCCGAGCUGAAGGACCAGCAGGGGGAAUGGCUGGCCCUGCGCGCUGCAUCUUCACUCUGCCACCAGCCUUGCAUACCCACCCCCAUUGUUGGUUACUGGACCCUCUCCCCGCCCCACUCUCCGCUGAUGGUCAGGCGGCUGUGAGCAGUGAUCCAGCCAGCAGCAGGACCCGCCGUGUAGCAACUGGCAUCUGGAGCUUGUCAACAAAAUAUGUCUGAUCCGAUCUGAAAGCAUCCCACUUUGAAAGUUAAAAAUAAUGAGUGCACAAACUGAUGUAGAACUGAAAUGUUAUUACGCUGGAUAUC